rnacentral:rRNA from 1 species
UACAGAGGUCUCGAGCGUUGUUCGGAUUCAUUGGGCGUAAAGGGCGCGUAGGCGGCGGGGCAAGUCGGGUGUGAAAUCUCAGAGCUCAACUCUGAAACUGCACUCGAUACUGCUUUGCUUGAGGGCUGGAGAGGAGAUUGGAAUUCACGGUGUAGCAGUGAAAUGCGUAGAUAUCGUGAGGAAGACCAGUGGCGAAGGCGGAUCUCUGGACAGUUCCUGACGCUGAGGCGCGAAGGCCAGGGGAGCAAACGGG